rnacentral:rRNA from 1 species
GGGAAUUCCUUCCAACAAGUGGAACGAAAGUCUGAUGGAGCAACGCCGCGUGAGUGAAGAAGGGUUUCGGCUCGUAAAGCUCUGUUGGUAGUGAAAGAAAGAUAGAGGUAGUAACUGGCCUUUUAUUUGACGGUAAUUACUUAGAAAGUCACGGCUAACUACGUGCC